rnacentral:rRNA from 1 species
GUGUCUGGUGGGUAGUUUGACUGGGGCGGUCUCCUCCUAAAGAGUAACGGAGGAGCACGAAGGUUGGCUAAUCCUGGUCGGACAUCAGGAGGUUAGUGCAAUGGCAUAAGCCAGCUUGACUGCGAGCGUGACGGCGCGAGCAGGUGCGAAAGCAGGUCAUAGUGAUCCGGUGGUUCUGAAUGGAAGGGCCAUCGCUCAACGGAUAAAAGGUACUCCGGGGAUAACAGGCUGAUACCGCCCAAGAGUUCAUAUCGACGGCGGUGUUUGGCACCUCGAUGUCGGCUCAUCACAUCCUGGGGCUGAAGUAGGUCCCAAGGGUAUGGCUGUUCGCCAUUUAAAGUGGUACGCGAGCUGGGUUUAGAACGUCGUGAGACAGUUCGGUCCCUAUCUGCCGUGGGCGCUGGAGAACUGAGGGGGGCUGCUCCUAGUACGAGAGGACCGGAGUGGACGCAUCACUGGUGUUCGGGUUGUCAUGCCAAUGGCACUGCCCGGUAGCUAAAUGCGGAAGAGAUAAGUGCUGAAAGCAUCUAAGCACGAAACUUGCCCCGAGAUGAGUUCUCCCUGAGACUUAGAGUCUCCUGAAGGAACGUUGAAGACGACGACGUUGAUAGGCCGGGUGUG